rnacentral:lncRNA from 10 species
CUUUGCUUUAAUAAUCUACUUUAACAGCCUCUUUAGGUUUAGAACUGAUGAAUGAGCACUUAAAAUAGCGACUUGGACCAUUGGAACUUUUAUUUUGCGUCUUCUCUAAAAAAAUAAUCGUUACUUGCUGGAAAAAAAUCUGAAGGUACUUUUUCAGAUAGGAGGAUGCCAAGAGAAGAAAAGCAUUUUCUCUGUCUUCAAAGAGGAAAAGAUGAGCAUAGUGAAUUUCGGGUGUUGUAUUUAUUCAGCUUGGACGUUUAAAAGAUACUUGGCUUUCCCAUACUAUCUUGACAUGCAUUUUGCUGUUACUUCUACCUGGGAUGCUGGCACUGCCCACCACACACUGUUGAAGACUCAGUUCAGGAAUUGUUAGGAGUUCUAGAAGAGGGAUGGAAUGCAAACAACAACUCCCUUUCUCUCCAGGAAGAAGAGACCUGAAGCCCACGAUUGUGGUUUUUGAAGACUGAGCUCUCUGCCCUUGCGUAAGGAGGUCCAAGAUUUCUCCUUGAUAAAAAUGUGGACUGAAAUGCUAGUUAAAAGAAGCAAUUAGGGCUUUUGGUAUAGAGAAAUAUUUGGAAGCUGAAGAGACUGAGGUGGACUGGAAAAGAUUUGGAGAUGCCAAACAUCACAACUCAGAGACAGGAAAGUGGUCUGAAAAUAUAGCAGCUGCCUGGAGGUGCCAGGUGAGUGGGCUUGGAGAAGAGCCACGAUGAGGGCCACUGUUGGAGUCAUACUGAAGAAACUCUUCACAGCCUUCCCCAGAGGACUAUGCAGUUAAGCGGCAAUUCUGCCUCAUGUAGACAAAUAAUCAUGGAAGGUGAUUCGCAGCCUGUGAUCAACUUCUUUUUUAUCCCAGCAAAAAUAAGUGAUUCCUGAAAAUUAUCAAAAUAAUCAAACACAAGGAGAGUCUGAGAAACUGUCACAGCCAAGAGGAAUCUUAAGGUGACAUGAUGGCUAAAGGCAAUGUGGUACUCUAAAUGGGAUCUUGCAAAAGAAAAAGAACAUUGGGGGAAAACUACAGAAAUCUGAAUAAAGUAGAGACUUUAGUUAAUAAUGUAUCAGUAUUGGUUUGUUAAUUAUAAUUAUAUAUACCAUACUAAGGUAAGAUGUUAAUAAUAUGAGAAACUGGGUGUGGAGUAUAUCCAAUGUAUCUGUCUUUCCAAUGUCUUUGUAAAUCUAAAAUAGUUCUAAAAAAUAAAGUUUAUUUAAAAAGAAGGAGAAGGAGGAAAACACAGACUAACCUGUGAGGAUGUGUCCUCCAAAACCCUCAGGACACUGGAAGCACCCAGGGGACCUGAACUCAUGAAUUCCUUGGGUAUAGGGAUUGAUUCAUGCUGACAUUCUCCAUGGCCAGUGCACAGUAUCUGGUUUUAAAUAGUGGUCAAUGCAUAGUUACUGAAUUAAAAUUUAUUUCCAGUAAGGAAGACGCAAGAGGCAAUAAAGAUAAUGUUUUUCUUCUGAUGAUAAAUAAAACUGCAAAAUAUAUUUUGUGUACUUAAGUUGAUUGAAAAUUUUGUAGGGAUAUCCAGUUCAACAGAGUUCACCCUGACAUUUGGAAAAAACUGUGCUCUUAGUGCAGAAAGUGACACAAGACUCCAUUCUUUAAGAAUACUACUAUUUUGCCAGACGUGGUGGCUCACGCCUGUAAUCCCAGCACUUUGGGAGGCUGAGGUAGGCGGAUCAUGAGCGCAGGAGAUCGAGACCAUUCUGGG